rnacentral:rRNA from 1 species
ACUCAAAUGAAUUGACGGGGGCUCACACAAGCGGUGGAGGAUGUGGUUUAAUUCGAAGCAACGCGAAGAACCUUACCAGGUCUUGACAUUCCGGGAUUAAUUCUGUGAAAGCAGGAGGAUUGCCCUCAAGGUGUAACCGGAACAGGUGCUGCAUGGCUGUCGUCAGCUCGUGCCGUGAGGUGUUAGGUUAAGUCCUUUAACGAGCGAAACCCCUACGGUUAGUUACCAGCGCGUAAUGGCGGGGACUCUAGCCGGACUGCCGCGAAAGUAGGAGGAAGGUGGGGACGACGUCAAGUCAUCAUGGCCUUUAUGAUCUGGGCUACACACGUCCUACAAUGGGUGGUACAAAGGGUAGCGAAGCUGCAAAGCGGAGCCAAUCCUCGAAAGCCACCCUCAGUUCAGAUUGUGGGCUGCAAUUCGCCCACAUGAAGCUGGAAUCGCUAGUAAUCGCGGAUCAGCUACGCCGCGGUGAAUAUGUUCCUGAGCCUUGUACACACCGCCCGU